AUGCAAACAUCAGCCUCUCCACUGGAGGAACUCACAGCAGCUGGGGGCAGACUGUUCUUGGGGGAGAGACAGAGAGAGAGAGAGACAGAGAGAGAGAGAGAGACAGAGACAGAGAGAGAGACAGAGACAGAGAGAGAGAGACAGAGAAAGACAGAGAGACAGAGACAGAGAGACAGACACAGAGACAGAGAAGAGAGACAGAGAGAGACAGACAGAGAGAGAGAGAGACAGAGAGAGAGAGAGAGACAGAGAGACAGAGAGACAGAGACAGAGAGAGACAGAGAGACAGAGAGAGACAGAGAGACAGAGACAGAUAGAGAGACAGAGACAGAGACAGAUAGAGAGACAGAGAGACAGAGACAGAUAGAGACAGAGAAAGACAGAGAGACAGAGACAGAGAGACAGACACAGAGACCGAGAAGAGAGACAGACAGAGAGAGAGAGAGAACACCAAGAAGAGUAGAGGAGACCCAGGCCUGGGGCUGGGCCACAGCAGGGAGCAAUCUCUGUGCUCCUUUCUCCUGCUCCCUGCUCCCUCCCGCACUUAGCAGAUGGAAGCCCCUGAGCCACUUCCCUCCAUCCCAGGAAGUGAGCUCCUCCCACUGUGGCUGGGAAUCAGGAGCUCCCAAAAAGAGAGGAGGGAAUUCCCUCCCGGCAGGCGUCUGGGGGCUAAGACACAACCUGAAACCAGCUUCCAUAUUUAUUAUUAUUACUGCUGAUGCUGAUACGCCUAAUAAUAACCCCACUCAUUUGCUGUGGUGCUUUUCUGUCUUUUUAAAAUUUUUUUCUGUAUUUUUAUUUUAUUUGGGUAGAGAGAAAAAGACAGAGACAGAGAGAUCUUCCAUCCGCUGGCUCACCCCCCACAUGCAGGAGAUGGGCCAGGCUGAAGCCAGGAGCCCAGAACUCAACCUGGGUCUCCCACACGGGCGACAGGGACGCCAGUACUUGAGCGGUCACUGCUGCCUCCUGGGACAUGCACGAGCAGCAAGCUGGAACCGGAAACAGAGCCAGGACUGCAACCCAGACGCUCCAGCGUGGGGCAGGGGCGUCCCAAGUGGCUGUGCCAAACACCUGCCCCUUUUCUUUGGUUAA
rnacentral:lncRNA from 1 species